rnacentral:tRNA from 1 species
UGUCCUAUAGUAUAAUGGUAGUACAACUGAUUUUGGUUCAGUUUGUCUAGGUUCGAAUCCUGGUAGGACAACAA